rnacentral:rRNA from 1 species
GUUCCUACUGGAGGCAGCAGUGAGGAAUAUUGGUCAAUGGCCGAAGGGCUGAACCAGCCAAGCCGCGUGAAUGAAUAAGGCCCUACGGGUCGUAAACUUCUUUAGUCAGGGAACAAAGGGAGCCACGCGUGGCGCUGUGAGUGUACCUGAAGAAUAAGCAUCGGCUAACUCCGUGCCAGCAGCCGCGGUAAUACGGAGGAUGCGAGCGUUAUCCGGAUUUAUUGGGUUUAAAGGGUGCGUAGGCGGAAUGCCAAGUCAGCGGUAAAAUCGC